rnacentral:lncRNA from 1 species
UCUUCUGCGUCGAGGAUGGCGACGAAGGUGCAGAAGUGAGCACGGCGGCGAGCCAUUGAACCUGAGGUUAGCUCACGCGGUCUCUCUCAUCCUCUCUACUCUCUGACCCUCUCUGUGCUCUGACCCCUCUCUGUCGUGCAAUUUUUGUCAUGCAGUACAUUGUGGUGUUGAUAAUUACUCUUGAUAACAUAAACCUUGUUGACUGAACAGGAUGCUAGGACUUCUGGUUAUGUCAAAUGGAUUGACAAACCAUGGCAGUGGAGGGAAAGAAGUGUCAUAGCUGAAUUAGCUAAGAAGAAUGAGGUGCUGGAGAUGAAGCUGGUGGAGAUAAUUGGUGAGAUAGAAGCAGAGAAGGAGAAGCACAAGAUGGAGAAGAAGAUGACUGGAAGGAUGCAUAGAGAUCAGCUUCAAUCUAGAGAUAGGAUGAUUAUGUUUGUUGUGUGCAUGUACUUUGGAUUAGUUGCAAUCGUGUUCACAAUCUUUGACAGGAAGUGAUGUAUCC